rnacentral:tRNA from 1 species
GAAGUCUUUACGGAAAGGUAAGGUGACGGCCUGCAAAGCCGUUAUUCCCCGGUUCAAAUCCGGGAGCCGCCUCCA